rnacentral:rRNA from 1 species
GUCUAUGGCCAUACCACCCUAAACGUGCCCAAUCUCGUCUGGUCUUGGAAGCUAAGCAGGGUCGGGCCUGGUUAGUACCUGGAUGGGACACAGAUUUUCAGAAGAGACUGCUCAGAGACA